UACGUAGGGGGCAAGCGUUGUCCGGAUUUAUUGGGCGUAAAGAGCGUGUAGGCGGCCUGACAAGUCUGCUGUGAAAACUCGAGGCUCAACCUCGAGAUGUCGGCGGAAACUGUCUGGCUAGAGUCCGGAAGAGGAGAGUGGAAUUCCCGGUGUAGCGGUGAAAUGCGCAGAUAUCAGGAGGAACACCGGUGGCGAAGGCGGGUCUCUGGGCCGAUACUGACGCUGAGGAGCGAAAGCGUGGGGAGCGAACAGG
rnacentral:rRNA from 1 species